AGAGUUUGAUCCUGGCUCAGAAUCAACGCUGGCGGCGUGCCUAACACAUGCAAGUCGCACGAGAAAGGGACUUCGGUCCUGAGUACAGUGGCGCACGGGUGAGUAACACGUGAAUAAUCUACCUCCGAGUGGGGAAUAACUGAGAGAAAUCUUAGCUAAUACCGCAUAACACUUACGAGUCAAAGCAGCAAUGCGCUUGGAGAGGAGUUCGCGGCAGAUUAGUUAGUUGGCGGGGUAAUGGCCCACCAAGACGAUGAUCUGUAUCCGGCCUGAGAGGGCGCACGGACACACUGGAACUGAAACACGGUCCAGACUCCUACGGGAGGCAGCAGUGGGGAAUUUUGCGCAAUGGGGGAAACCCUGACGCAGCAACGCCGCGUGGAGGAUGAAAUCCCUUGGGAUG
rnacentral:rRNA from 1 species